GACGAACGCUGGCGGCGUGCUUAACACAUGCAGUCGCACGGAAAGGCCCUGCUUGCAGGGUACUCGAGUGGCGAACGGGUGAGUAACACGGGGGUGAUCUGCCCUGCACUUCGGGAUAAGCCUGGGGAACUGGGUCUAAUACCGGAUAGGAGCCAUUUUUAGUGUGAUGGUUGGAAAGUUUUUUCGGUGUAGGAUGAGCUCGCGGCCUAUCAGCUUGUUGGUGGGGUAAUGGCCUACCAAGGCGGCGACGGGUAGCCGGCCUGAGAGGGUGGACGGCCACAUUGGGACUGAGAUACGGCCCAGACUCCUACGGGAGGCAGCAGUGGGGAAUAUUGCACAAUGGGCGCAAGCCUGAUGCAGCGACGCCGCGUGGGGGAUGACGGCCUUCGGGUUGUAAACUCCUUUCGCUAGGGACGAAGCUUUUUGUGACGGUACCUAGAUAAGAAGCACCGGCUAACUACGUG
rnacentral:rRNA from 1 species